GACGAACGCUGGCGGCGUGCUUAACACAUGCAAGUCGAACGGAAAGGCCCUGCUUUUGUGGGGUGCUCGAGUGGCGAACGGGUGAGUAACACGUGAGUAACCUGCCCUUGACUUUGGGAUAACUUCAGGAAACUGGGGCUAAUGCCGGAUAGGAGCUCCUGCUGCAUGGUGGGGGUUGGAAAGUUUCGGCGGUUGGGGAUGGACUCGCGGCUUAUCAGCUUGUUGGUGGGGUAGUGGCUUACCAAGGCUUUGACGGGUAGCCGGCCUGAGAGGGUGACCGGCCACAUUGGGACGGAGAUACGGCCCAGACUCCUACGGGAGGCAGCAGUGGGGAAUAUUGCACAAUGGGCGGAAGCCUGAUGCAGCAACGCCGCGUGCGGGAUGACGGCCUUCGGGUUGUAAACCGCUUUCGCCUGUGACGAAGCGUGAGUGACGGUAAUGGGUAAAGAAGCACCGGCUAACUACGUG
rnacentral:rRNA from 1 species